ACCUUAUCAAGAGCGGCGGAGGUAACAGGACCUGUGAAGCCGCAGCAACCCGACCUUUGAGUCGAAGGUGCUAAUUCCUGCGGUUUUAUCCGGAAGAUGAGGA
rfam:Ruminococcus flavefaciens 007c Rf007c_contig00682, whole genome shotgun sequence.